UACGGGGGUAUCAAGCGUUGUUCGGAUUUACUGGGCGUAAAGGGCGCGUAGGCGGUCAGCACAAGUCAGUUGUGAAAUCUCCGGGCUUAACCCGGAAAGGUCAACUGAUACUGUGCGACUAGAGUGCGGAAGGGGCAACUGGAAUUCUCGGUGUAGCGGUGAAAUGCGUAGAUAUCGAGAGGAACACCUGCGGCGAAGGCGGGUUGCUGGGCCGACACUGACGCUGAUGCGCGAAAGCCAGGGGAGCGAACGGG
rnacentral:rRNA from 1 species